UACGUAGGGUGCGAGCGUUAAUCGGAAUUACUGGGCGUAAAGCGUGCGCAGGCGGUUUUGUAAGCCAGGCGUGAAAUCCCCGGGCUCAACCUGGGAAUGGCAUUUGGGACUGCAAGGCUGGAGUGCGGCAGAGGAGACUGGAAUUCCUGGUGUAGCAGUGAAAUGCGUAGAUAUCAGGAGGAACACCGAUGGCGAAGGCAGGUCUCUGGGCUGACACUGACGCUCAUGCACGAAAGCGUGGGGAGCAAACAGG
rnacentral:rRNA from 1 species